AGUGAACGCUGGCGGUAGGCCUAACACAUGCAAGUCGAACGGCAGCACAGUAAGAGCUUGCUCUUACGGGUGGCGAGUGGCGGACGGGUGAGGAAUACAUCGGAAUCUACUUUUUCGUGGGGGAUAACGUAGGGAAACUUACGCUAAUACCGCAUACGACCUACGGGUGAAAGCAGGGGAUCUUCGGACCUUGCGCGAUUGAAUGAGCCGAUGUCGGAUUAGCUAGUUGGCGGGGUAAAGGCCCACCAAGGCGACGAUCCGUAGCUGGUCUGAGAGGAUGGUCGGCCACACUGGAACUGAGACACGGUCAAGACUCCUACGGGAGGCAGCAGUAGGGAAUAUUGGACAAUGGGCGCAAGCCUGAUCCAGCCAUACCGCGGGGGUGAAGAAGGCCUUCGGGUUGUAAAGCCCUUUUGUUGGGGAAGAAAAGCAGCAGGUUAAUACCCCGCUGUUCUGACGGUACCCAAAGAAUAAGCACCGGCUAACUUCGUG
rnacentral:rRNA from 1 species